GCCUACGGCCAUACCACCCUGAAAGCGCCCGAUCUCGUCUGAUCUUGGAAGCUAAGCAGGGACGUGCUUGGUUAGUACCUGGAUGGGAGACCGCCUGGGAAUACCAGGUGUUAUAGGCU
rnacentral:rRNA from 1 species